GGCAGGAAGCAGCCCACUUGGUGGGGUUGGGGUAUGAGUCCUUCCUCGCGGGGGCUCGGUGGGUCCUGAGUAUUCUUUGGCCGGAUUUGCUGAUCCGUCUGCUCCAGGUUCACAAAGUACAGUCCGCAGGCCAGCAGCAUCAUCUGGGAACUUAGGAAAAAACCAGCCCUACUGAGUCAGAAACUGGGGAUGUGGCCCAGGCAAUCUUUUACCAAGACCUCCAGGUGAUUAUAAUGCAAGGAAGGAUUCCCUAUCUUGGACCUGAGGCUGCUUUCUUGAAGAAAACUUGACUUUAUUUCAUUUAGUGGGAAGAGCAGCAGCCCAGCUAUUAAGUUCUAAUAUGCAAUAGGCUGCAGGCUGUGAAGUGUUCGUGGCAGUAGACUCUGAAGCUAAGGAGCUGAGGGCUUAACAAGUUUCUAGAAGCUGCCAUCAACAUGCCAAGUCAGUAAAACUGAUAGUUGAUCAGAUUUCAAGGUCUGGGGAGUAUAUCCACUGUGUACUGGGUCUUGAGCUCUAGAGAGCUAGGCCUUGCUAAAAUAAAAG
rnacentral:lncRNA from 10 species